GGAUCAAAACAAAUGUCUUUCUUUUUUAUGUUUUUUCAUUCCCAGUUCUUUCCGAGUUCGAUUACGAAACAAAAAUUGGGAAUCCAUCUCCACAGCUUCAAAUCCUUUUUCAUUCAUCGAUUUCAGCUUUAAAUCCUUACAAUUCUCAUCGAUUUUGUCUUUCAAAUUGUUUGAAAUCAAUCUUCAAAAGGCACACAUGCGGGCAGAUCUAACACCGAGUUUCAGAAGCUCUCUUCUGUGAUAGCUCGACAGUAAAGUUUCAUACAAAUCUGUGUUCGUGGGAAGGGAUAAGCUACUCAUCGGUGAUCUUCAACCAGGUGCUUCACAUGGACAGAAAUGAUUACUAUGGUGGGGAAACAACAUCGCUUAAUCUCAAUCAGCUUUGGAAGAAUCUCAAGGGAGAAGAGAAGGCUCCUGAGCAUUAACGUGCUAGCAGGGAUUACAAUGUGCUGGACCAGUUUAUGAUGGGUACAAGCUUCUCAUUGAUGUAUAGGUUUCACUGAUUCCUUUGGAGGCCCUGAAACUGGCUAAUUAAAGCAUCAUCUGGAGAAGAAGUGUACAACAAAAAUCAUGAAGACAGUACAGAUUAUACAAUACUGUAUAACAAAAUUGUAUCUUUCAUAUUAUAAUUUUAGUGACAUUGUAUUUGGAGCUGAUAUAUAUUCUAUGUAAAAUCAUAUUCGUGUGAUUAAUU